rnacentral:rRNA from 1 species
GAUGAACGCUAGCGGCAGGCCUAACACAUGCAAGUCGAGGGGCAGCGGGAAAGUAGCUUGCUACUUUUGCCGGCGACCGGCGCACGGGUGCGUAACGCGUAUGUAACCUACCUUAAACAGGGGCAUAACACUGAGAAAUUGGUACUAAUUCCCCAUAACACUUUGGGAGGCAUCUUCUGAAGUUGAAAGUUCCGGCGGUUUAAGAUGGACAUGCGUUGUAUUAGUUAGUUGGUGAGGUAACGGCUCACCAAGACGACGAUACAUAGGGGGACUGAGAGGUUAACCCCCCACAUUGGUACUGAGACACGGACCAAACUCCUACGGGAGGCAGCAGUGAGGAAUAUUGGUCAAUGGACGCAAGUCUGAACCAGCCAUGCCGCGUGCAGGAUGACGGCUCUAUGAGUUGUAAACUGCUUUUGUAUGAGGGUAAAUGUAGGUACGUGUACCUAUUUGAAAGUAUCAUACGAAUAAGGAUCGGCUAACUCCGUG